rnacentral:rRNA from 1 species
GAGGGAUAGUGGCGAACGGGUGAGUAACACGUGGGCAAUCUGCCCUUCACUCUGGGACAAGCCCUGGAAACGGGGUCUAAUACCGGAUACGACUGCGGAAGGCAUCUUCCGCGGUGGAAAGCUCCGGCGGUGAAGGAUGAGCCCGCGGCCUAUCAGCUUGUUGGUGGGGUAAUGGCCUACCAAGGCGACGACGGGUAGCCGGCCUGAGAGGGCGACCGGCCACACUGGGACUGAGACACGGCCCAGACUCCUACGGGAGGCAGCAGUGGGGAAUAUUGCACAAUGGGCGAAAGCCUGAUGCAGCGACGCCGCGUGAGGGAUGACGGCCUUCGGGUUGUAAACCUCUUUCAGCAGGGAAGAAGCGAAAGUGACGGUACCUGCAGAAGAAGCGCCGGCUAACUACGUGCCAGCAGCCGCGGUAAUACGUAGGGCGCAAGCGUUGUCCGGAAUUAUUGGGCGUAAAGAGCUCGUAGGCGGCCAGUCACGUCGGAUGUGAAAGCCCGAGGCUUAACCUCGGGUCUGCAUUCGAUACGGGCUGGCUAGAGUGUGGUAGGGGAGAUCGGAAUUCCUGGUGUAGCGGUGAAAUGCGCAGAUAUCAGGAGGAACACCGGUGGCGAAGGCGGAUCUCUGGGCCAUUACUGACGCUGAGGAGCGAAAGCGUGGGGAGCGAACAGGAUUAGAUACCCUGGUAGUCCACGCCGUAAACGUUGGGAACUAGGUGUUGGCGACAUUCCACGUCGUCUGUGCCGCAGCUAACGCAUUAAGUUCCCCGCCCUGGGGAGUACGGCCGCAAGGCUAAAACUCAAAGGAAUUGACGGGGCCCGCACAGCGGCGGAGCAUGUGGCCUUAA